rnacentral:lncRNA from 1 species
GCCGCGGAUAUUUGAUCGGCCUACAUGUCUCCGGCUUCUGUUCCCUUCUCUCCCAGCAUUACCGGGAAAAAGUCAUUACCGCUGGAAGCCUUCUCUGGAGGACGAGAUCUGGGAGUUUAUCCUCAAACGCAGAAUAACAGCAUGCUGUGUCAGCAGUCUGGUCUGAAACAUGUCAUGAAUCAGAGGGGACGGAGAUGUUGUCCAACCUAUAGAAGGAAAACAGAGAGGGAGAAAAUGAAAGAGAAAGAGAGGGCAUCGUGCAAACUGACAAUUCCAGCGACUCUGUCAGACAGCAGUUGACUGCUAUUCUGCUAUUCCUGUUAGAGGGCUGAACCCACUCUGCCUUG